UACGAAGGGGGCUAGCGUUGCUCGGAAUCACUGGGCGUAAAGCGCACGUAGGCGGCUUUUUAAGUCAGGGGUGAAAUCCUGGAGCUCAACUCCAGAACUGCCUUUGAUACUGAAGAUCUUGAGUUCGGGAGAGGUGAGUGGAACUGCGAGUGUAGAGGUGAAAUUCGUAGAUAUUCGCAAGAACACCAGUGGCGAAGGCGGCUCACUGGCCCGAUACUGACGCUGAGGCACGAAAGCGUGGGGAGCAAACAGG
rnacentral:rRNA from 1 species